rnacentral:rRNA from 1 species
AUUGAACGCUGGCGGCAUGCUUUACACAUGCAAGUCGAACGGCAGCGCGGGCUUCGGCCUGGCGGCGAGUGGCGAACGGGGGAGUAAUGCAUCGGAAUGUCCCCAGCAGUGGGGGAUAGCACGGCGAAGGCAGGAGUAAUACCGCAUACGAGAUGAUGGUGAAAGCGGGGGGGCGAUAGGCAUCGCGCGAUUUGAGCGGCCGAUGUCGGAUUAGCUAGUUGGUGGGGUAAAGGCUUGCCAAGGCGACGAUCCGCAGCUGGUCUGAGAGGACGACCGGCCACACUGGAACUGAGACACGGCCCAGACUCCUACGGGAGGCAGCAGUGGGGAAUGUUAGACAAUGGGGGCAACCCUGAUCCAGCCAUGCCGCGUGCGGGACGAAGGCCUUCGGGUUGUAAACCGCUUUUGUUCGGGAAGAAAUCCUCUGGGCUAAUACCCCGGGGGGAUGACGGUACCGGAUGAAUAAGCACCGGCUAACUACGUG